GCCCGGUUAGCUCAAUCGGUAGAGCGUGAGACUCUUAAUCUCAAGGCUGCGGGUUCGACCCCCGCAUCGGGCU